GGCGCGAUUUAACGUAAUAUUUUAGCGCCUAUUCUGUAAAAUACCAAAAGCGAACACCGAGAAUAUUCGUUCCGAGAAUUAACGAACUUCACCGAGUUUAGGGUGCGCCGUGUACAGGAUGCUACAAUCAACAUACAAGCAAUGUUGUUUGGAUUACUCCAGAGUCUGGUAACCACACUGACAAUUUGUUAAAGCUCCAGCAGAAACUUAUUUUAAAGAAGACAUGUGAUAAACUGUUUAUGAAAGUGGAUUGUGACUCUAUUAGAGAAUACAUAAUAUUUCCAAGUUCUUAUGAGAUGGACACUUAAACAUUAGUCAGCACCAGUGAGAUGGUGGUGAUUUUAGUUAUUGUAUAUUAUUUAUUGGACUUAUCAUACCCAUCUUGUUUUGGGCAGUUGCUUGGUUUUUUUCAAGAGAUAUGUGGAUUCGAACAAUUUAUUUUCAUAUCAAAAAGUGCAAUGCACUGUUGAACUCUUUUCGAAGUAAUGUAAAGUUUGCUUGAAAUAUAUACGCAUGAUCCUAAACUACAUGAUACU